UGGGGAAUUUUGGACAAUGGGCGCAAGCCUGAUCCAGCCAUGCCGCGUGCAGGAUGAAGGCCUUCGGGUUGUAAACUGCUUUUGUACGGAACGAAAAGACUCCUUCUAAUUAAGGUGGUCCAUGACGGUACCGUAAGAAUAAGCACCGGCUAACUACGUGCCAGCAGCCGCGGUAAUACGUAGGGUGCAAGCGUUAAUCGGAAUUACUGGGCGUAAAGCGUGCGCAGGCGGUUAUGCAAGACAGAGGUGAAAUCCCCGGGCUCAACCUGGGAACUGCCUUUGUGACUGCAUAGCUAGAGUACGGUAGAGGGGAAUGGAAUUCCGCGUGUAGCAGUGAAAUGCGUAGAUAUGCGGAAGAACACCGAUGGCGAAGGCAAUCCCCUGGACCUGUACUGACGCUCAUGCACGAAAGCGUGGGGAGCAAACA
rnacentral:rRNA from 1 species